rnacentral:rRNA from 1 species
UACGUAGGGUGCGAGCGUUAAUCGGAAUUGCUGGGCGUAAAGCGUGCGCAGGCGGUUCGUUGUGUCGGCGGUGAAAGCCCCGGGCUUAACCUGGGAAUGGCCGUUGAAACUGGCGAACUGGAGUGUGGCAGAGGGGGGUGGAAUUCCGCGUGUAGCAGUGAAAUGCGUAGAGAUGCGGAGGAACACCGAUGGCGAAGGCAGCCCCCUGGGCUAACACUGACGCUCAGGCACGAAAGCGUGGGGAGCAAACAGG